UCACUUCUUAUAUAGGAAAAGAUUAUUUAAAAUAUCGAUUUCUACAACAUAUUCAAAAACAUCGAAAUCGAUGAAUAGUUAAUGUUUCUGCAGUUCCACCUAUCAAAUCAUAUUCUCUUCAACGCUAUUCAAUUUUUAUUCGAAAGAUUUUACUAUAAAGACGUUGAAAAACUGAGAAUGCAAUUGAGUUUCACUUUUGGAGGAAGAAAUUUCCAUAAUGUGUCACUGGAUCAAGGUCAAGAACCCAUAGCUGAAGAAACCAUAGAACUUUC
rnacentral:misc_RNA from 1 species